rnacentral:rRNA from 1 species
UACAGAGGGUGCAAGCGUUAAUCGGAAUUACUGGGCGUAAAGCGCGCGUAGGUGGUUUGUUAAGUUGGAUGUGAAAUCCCCGGGCUCAACUGGGAACUGCAUCCAAAACUGGCAAGCUAGACGUCAGGGCAGAGGGUGGUGGAAUUUCCUGUGUAGCGGUGAAAUGCGUAGAUAUAGGAAGGAACACCAGUGGCGAAGGUGUACCACCUGGGCUUGCAUACUGACACUGAGGUG